rnacentral:rRNA from 1 species
CCUACGGGAGGCAGCAGUGGGGGAUAUUGCACAAUGGGGGGAACCCUGAUGCAGCGACGCCGCGUGGGUGAAGAAGCGCCUCGGCGCGUAAAGCCCUGUCAGCAGGGAAGAAAAUGACGGUACCUGAAGAAGAAGCCCCGGCUAACUACGUGCCAGCAGCCGCGGUAAUACGUAGGGGGCAAGCGUUAUCCGGAUUGACUGGGUGGAAAGGGGGCGCAGACGGCGAGGCAAGCCAGGAGUGAAAGCCCGGGGCCCAACCCCGGGACUGCUCUUGGAACUGCGUGGCUGGAGUGCAGGAGGGGCAGGCGGAAUUCCUGGUGUAGCGGUGAAAUGCGUAGAUAUCAGGCGGAACACCGGUGGCGACGGCGGCCUGCUGGACUGCAACUGACGUUGAGGCCCGAAAGCGUGGGGAGCAAACAGGAUUAGAUACCCCGGUAGUC